UACGUAGGUCCCGAGCGUUGUCCGGAUUUAUUGGGCGUAAAGCGAGCGCAGGUGGUUUAUUAAGUCUGGUGUAAAAGGCAGUGGCUCAACCAUUGUAUGCAUUGGAAACUGGUAGACUUGAGUGCAGGAGAGGAGAGUGGAAUUCCAUGUGUAGCGGUGGAAUGUGUAGAUAUCGGGAAGAACACCAAUGGCGAAGGCAGGUCUCUGGGCCGUUACUGACGCUGAGGAGCGAAAGCGUGGGGAGCGAACAGG
rnacentral:rRNA from 1 species